GCAUACAAUCCAAUGGAGAGACGGUUGGCAUCUCCCCAAAUAGGGGUGGGAACGGCCUUCGGGCUUCUUGUUGCCUAACGCAUGUGGUUAAGCCUACCCGCUUAGGCGGAUCUUAUCCAAAUUUUUUA